GGAGGGUUCCUUUAUUAGUAAGAAGGGCUAAGCUGUAAACUUGGUACUAUUGUAGUUUUAAGAGUUCGAAUCUCUUAUCUUUUA
rnacentral:tRNA from 1 species